CCUACGGGGGGCAGCAGGCGCGAAAACUUUACAAUGCGGGAAACCGUGAUAGGGGAACUCCGAGUGCCCGUAAAAUCGGGCUGUCCAUCAGUUUAAAUAACUGGUGAAGAAAGGGCCGGGCAAGACCGGUGCCAGCCGCCGCGGUAAUACCGGCGGCUCGAGUGGUGGCCACUAUUACUGGGCUUAAAGCGUUCGUAGCUGGUUUGUUAAGUCCCUGGGGAAAUCUUCCGGCUUAACCGGAAGGCGUCUCAGGGAUACUGGCAGACUAGGGACCGGGAGAGGUGAGGGGUACUCCAGGGGUAGGAGUGAAAUCCUGUAAUCCUUGGGGGACCACCUGUGGCGAAGGCGCCUCACCAGAACGGCUCCGACAGUGAGGGACGAAAGCUGGGGGAGCAAACCGGAUUAGAUACCCGAGUAGUCCG
rnacentral:rRNA from 1 species